GACGAACGCUGGCGGCGUGCCUAAUACAUGCAAGUCGAACGCAGUGGGGACGGGUGAGUAACACGUGGCUAACCUCCCAUCUGAGGGGAUAAAACUUGGAAACAGGUGCUAAACCGAUACUGAUGGAUGGACCCGCGGUGCAUUAGCUAGUUGGUGAGGUAACGGCUCACCAAGGCCACGAGGCAUAGCUGACCUGAGAGUGUGAUCGGCCACACUGGGACUGAGACACGGCCCAGACUCCUACGUGAGGCAGCAGUAGGGAAUAUUCGGCAAUGGACGAAAGUCUGACCGAGCCACGCCGCGUGUGUGAAGAAGGUUUUCGGAUCGUAAAACUCUGUUGUGAGAGAGGCGGUAUCUAACCAGAAAGCCACGGCUAACUACGUGCCAGCAGCCGCGGUAAUUC
rnacentral:rRNA from 1 species